rnacentral:rRNA from 1 species
UACGUAAGUCCCGAGCGUUGUCCGGAUUUAUUGGGCGUAAAGCGAGCGCAGGUGGUUUAUUAAGUCUGGUGUAAAAGGCAGUGGCUCAACCAUUGUAUGCAUUGGAAACUGGUAGACUUGAGUGCAGGAGAGGAGAGUGGAAUUCCAUGUGUAGCGGUGAAAUGCGUAGAUAUUAGGAGGAACACCAGUUGCGAAGGCGGCUCUCUGGACUGUAACUGACACUGAGGCACGAAAGCGUGGGGAGCAAACAGG